rnacentral:lncRNA from 1 species
AGUCGACUAUCUAAUAUUUUGUAUUAAAACUGGAAUUUCCGCAAGCUAAGAUAUUCGAAUAUCUGAUUUAGAUAUUCGAAUAUCUGAUUUAGAUAAUCGAAUAACCUAAUUUAGUUAUUCGAAUAUCCUGAUGACUGUUUUCUGAGAUAGUCGACUAUCAACUUAGUUAUUCGACUAUCUAAUAUUUUCGCAUUAAAACUGGACUUUUC